CUUACUUCUCUGUCAGCUUUCACAGGACUGAGGCAAAUCACCGACUUUUGCUUGCGCGAGACGGACUUUUGCCCGCGAAAUUUUUAUAUGGAUUUUUGACAGUGAUUUUGACAGUGAUGAGUUCAAAAGCGCUCCAAUGAUGUCGGAAAUAAUGGCUGAUGACGUAAGUGUUUGCCUGAUACACCACGUAGGAGCUUAAUGUUGCUAUUUCCAAAACUAGAUUUAGCAAGGUAAUAGUGUCACGAAUUAGUCUCGUAUUAUGUACUAAAAAAUCAUUAGUGAAUUCAUAUUAUGCCUUAGGAAAACAUUACUUAUUCAACUUUUCACAUUUCAAGAAUUAACCACAUGUAUUGACCAUAUCUUGCUGAUGAUACGAAUGCUCUUAAAGGACAACUAUAGAUUUAAUAAAAUGCAUUAUGACAGCUGAGGAAUUAAGCUUUGAGGUUUGUUUGGUACAGUUUCUAUCGAACCCGGAAUUUUGAGAGCGUAAUGUCCGAAUGUUCCUGAAUGCAUCAAUCAAAUCUAACGUCACAUCAACGCAUCUCCGUCAAAUUCCUCUGAAGUCUUGACCGACAACAGAGCAUCCUCCUUAUCUGCAUUGUGUUUGACCAUAACGGCUGGUGACUCUAAAGUGCAAGUUCACACAUCAAUUCAGAUAUUGCUCCUGCCAGUGUUGGUGACUCCUUGGAUAUUUGACAGUGUCCUGCUGUCCAGCAUCUCUCCUCCUCUAUCCCAUUGGCUCUCUGUCUAUCCUAUACCUUGUAUCCACUCUGUCUACAAUUUGAUAACUCUAGCUUUCCUGUCAAAUCUACCGCUCUGUCUGAUUUUGUAAACUCUAUCUUUGUAUCCCUCUUCUAUCCCACUCUAUCUGUAUACAUAAGCCUGAAAACCCUGAUAUUCUGAAACCUGAACCCUGAACCCUGAAACCUGAACCUAAGGUUAUUGCAACCUGUCUGAACAGAACUCUGAGAGUAUCUCCACUCUCCCGCUCUCUGUCUCUCCUCUGAACACUCACUCACCCGGGUUAUUGGUACCUGAUCUACCUUUUUGAAUGAUCUGAGAGAUUCUCUUCUCUCACUCUCACCUCUCUCCUAUCAACUCCUAUAUUUAUACAAUACUAUUACUAUUACUGUUACUAAUUUGACAAAACAUUUGAAAUUGACUAUUAAUGAGAUUAACAAAAUUGGCCUGAACAAAGAAUUGAAAAGUUAAUUCAGAAGCUGAAAAAAACAUAAAGUACAAAUCUUUUUGUUAUAAUUGAAAAAACUACACCUUGAUCCAAAGAAUUGUAUUGUAAAAAAGUACUCUUUAUAAUUGAAUCAGGUAGAUUUCCUAAUACACUAUUUGCAAAAGUGCAUUGAAUUAACAUAAUUAAAGACAACUGCACUGUGAUAUAUAAUAAAAUACAUAACUAUUACAAAUCCAUAUUAGAGAAGUGUAUUUGCUCCUGAUCGCUGUUGCUGUGCACCUGUUGGUUUGUACUCAAAGGUUUGUUUUGUGAGCAAACACUGUUGUUAACUUGAUUAGUCUACGUACAAGGAAAAAUAAUCCCGCUACAUGCAUUGAAUCAAUUAUACCUAAUUAAUGAAUACAUAAUGUUUUCUUAUAAACUUACAUUGUGCAUAUCAGUGUUUUGUUGUUUAUACUGAAAUAAAACACAGACGUCAACCAGGAGGAAGUGGAUUCAUCAGGAGUGGCUGUUUCCUGCUGAUCCAACGUUCUUCAGAAGCAUCCAUCUGUCAUCACACUCCCACAACAACUGCUCCCGAAUAUAAACAAUAGCCUAAUAAAGUAUUAAGAUAAUUUCUACCAGUAAAUUUAGCCAUUUGAAAUCUGAAGGGCCCUUUCAGUCAACUGGUUCCAAGUUGUGUGUUUGUGGUAGACUUCAGUUUUUACAUUGAUUAUAUAUUUCCUCAGAUAAGUCAAGGUCUCAGUAAGUAAUAUCUAUUACAUAUUAAAUACCAUCGGUCACUUUAGUACAUGGUACUUCAUUUACACAGACAGACAUACUAAGACCUGAUUGCAGUAUUCAAAUCUAGAAGUGCUUUGUCUAGACCCUCAUAUAUUAGAAUACGUCAGCUGGAUAAUUUCAUUGUGUUUUUUAUAUUAAAACUAUAAAAUAAUC